AUUGAACGCUGGCGGCAGGCCUAACACAUGCAAGUCGAGCGGAUGAAGGGAGCUUGCUCCUGGAUUCAGCGGCGGACGGGUGAGUAAUGCCUAGGAAUCUGCCUGGUAGUGGGGGAUAACGUCCGGAAACGGGCGCUAAUACCGCAUACGUCCUGAGGGAGAAAGUGGGGGAUCUUCGGACCUCGCGCUAUCAGAUGAGCCUAGGUCGGAUUAGCUAGUUGGUGGGGUAAAGGCCUACCAAGGCGACGAUCCGUAACUGGUCUGAGAGGAUGAUCAGUCACACUGGAACUGAGACACGGUCCAGACUCCUACGGGAGGCAGCAGUGGGGAAUAUUGGACAAUGGGCGAAAGCCUGAUCCAGCCAUGCCGCGUGUGUGAAGAAGGUCUUCGGAUUGUAAAGCACUUUAAGUUGGGAGGAAGGGCAGUAAGUUAAUACCUUGCUGUUUCGACGUUACCAACAGAAUAAGCACCGGCUAACUUCGUG
rnacentral:rRNA from 1 species